rnacentral:rRNA from 1 species
UUGGAGGGCAAGUCUGGUGCCAGCAGCCGCGGUAAUUCCAGCUCCAAUAGCGUAUAUUAAAGUUGUUGCAGUUAAAAAGCUCGUAGUUGAACUUCGGGGUUCACCCAUUGGUCAGGCUUAAUUGUCUGUACUGGUGAGAUGAGUCUCUACCUUCUGAGGAACUUUCAUGCCAUUUAUUUGGUGUGGUUGGAAAUCAGGACUGUUACUUUGAAAAAAUUAGAGUGUUUAAAGCAGGCUAACGUCUGAAUACAUUAGCAUGGAAUAAUGAAAUAGGACGGAUUGAUUCUAUUUCGUUGGUUUCUAGGGUCACCGUAAUGAUUAAUAGGGAUAGUUGGGGGCAUUAGUAUUCAAUUGUCAGAGGUGAAAUUCUUGGAUUUAUUGAAGACUAACUACUGCGAAAGCAUUUGCCAAGGAUGUUUUCAUUAAUCAAGAACGAAAGUUAGGGGAUCGAAGACGAUCAGAUACCGUCGUAGUCUUAACCAUAAACUAUGCCGACUAGGGAUCGGACGCAGUUAAUUUUAUAAUGACGUGUUCGGCACCUUACGGGAAACCAAAG